rnacentral:rRNA from 9 species
UGCGACCCCAGGUCAGGC